UACGUAGGGUGCAAGCGUUGUCCGGAAUUAUUGGGCGUAAAGAGCUCGUAGGCGGUCUGGUCGCGUCGGCUGUGCAAAUCCCGGAGCUCAACUCCGGGUCUGCAGUCGAUACGGGCAAACUGGAGUACUGCAGGGGAGACUGGGAAAUUCCUGGUGUAGCGGUGAAAUGCGCAGAUAUCAGGAGGAACACCGGUGGGCGAA
rnacentral:rRNA from 1 species